AAGAUUAUAUUUUCAGGGAUCAUUUCUAUAGUUCAUUGCUAAAGAAGUUUCUCUGAUCACAUAGAACACCAGAAACCAUGAGGAGGAGGCACAGCAUCCUCUCUGAGUGUGAAGCCGGCUCUCAGUGUUGCUUCAUUGCAACUACCAUUUACCCUUGAUGAUCGUUCUUGCUUUCCUUCAGGGGAGCAAGAGGGAGAGGAUGCAGUCUGAGUGAAA
ensembl:snoRNA